rnacentral:lncRNA from 1 species
AUGACGUUUCGUAAGAAGGGCUCCAAGAACCCCCCACUCCUGAGCCUGGAAUUCAUCCUGCAGAAUCAUGCGGACUUUGUCGCCUGUGUGGGGAUGUUCUUCGUGCUGGGGCUCAUGUUCGAGGGGACAGCAGAAGUGUCAAUCGUUUUUAUUACGCUCCAGCACGGGGUUACCUUCCCUGCAGUAGAAGCAGAAGCAGAAGCAGAAACAGAAGCAGAACGAGCCACAGCACCCAAGUUCCUUUAUCAUUAUGGUGCCAAAGACUUGGCCACCGUGUUCUUCUACACGCUGGUGGCAAUCAUCAUUCACGCCACCAUUCAGGAGUAUGUGUUGGAUAGAAUUAACAGGCGAAUGCAGUUCCCCAAACAGAGGCAAGGCAAAUUUUAUGAAUCUGGUCAGUUUAGCGUAUUCUUCCUUGUCUCCUGUAUCUGGGGCACAUUCAUUCUAGUCUCUGAAAACUGCCUGUCAGACCUGACUGUCUUAUGGAAGGCUCAUACCCAUAACAUGAUGACAUUUCAGAUGAAGUUUUUCUACAUCUCCCAGUUGGCUUACUGGUUUCACGCCUUUCCCGAACUAUUAUUCCAGAGAAGCAGACCUCAAGAACUCUCCCAGCAAGCUGUAUAUGUUGGUCUUCACCUCUUUCACAUUGCGGGAGCUUAUCUCUUGUACUUGAAUCACCUGGGACUUCUUCUUUUGAUGAUGCAUUAUUUUGUGGAAUUCCUUUCCCACUCUUGCGACCUGUUUUAUUUUAGCGACGAGAAGUUCCAGAAGGAGUUUUCUCUAUGGGCCAUUGUGUUUAUUUUGGGUCGACUUGUGACUUUAAUUGUUUCUUUAAUAACUGCUGGUUUUCAGCUGGCUGGGGGGCAGAAUGGGAAUUCGGAUGACUCUGCUGAAGAUGUGAACGUGCUGGCAGCUAAAAUUGCUGUUCUGUCAUCCAGUUGCUCUAUCCAAGCAUACGUAACAUGGAAUUUAUUUAAUGUCCAGCUUCAGAGGUGGAUGGAAGAAGAUGCUCCUCUUCAGGCCCCAAGUGUGAAGAAGAAACGGAUUAAGGGCAGAUUUUGUAGAAAAGGAAUGGAAAACGGUGUGGCAACUUCAAAUAGACUGCUAGAUUCUCCCCAGAUGAGGAAAGAAAAGUCUUCAUAA